GAUGAACGCUAGCUACAGGCUUAACACAUGCAAGUCGAGGGGCAGCAUAGGGUUUGCUUGCAAACUCUGAUGGCGACCGGCGCACGGGUGAGUAACGCGUAUCCAACCUGCCCACGGCCAGGGAAUAGCCCGCUGAAAAGCGGAUUAAUGCCCUAUGGGGUCCUUUGCAGACAUCUAAUGAGGACUAAAGAUUUCAUCGGCCAUGGAUGGGGAUGCGUCCGAUUAGGUAGUUGGCGGGGUAACGGCCCACCAAGCCUUCGAUCGGUAGGGGUUCUGAGAGGAAGGUCCCCCACAUUGGAACUGAGACACGGUCCAAACUCC
rnacentral:rRNA from 1 species